GACGAACGCUGGCGGCGUGCCUAAUACAUGCAAGUCGAACGCAGUGGGGACGGGUGAGUAACACGUGGGUAACCUCCCAUCAGAGGGGAUAAAACUUGGAAACAGGUGCUAAACUGAUACUGAUGGAUGGACCCGCGGUUCAUUAGCUAGUUGGUGAGGUAACGGCUAACCAAGGCCACGAUGAUUAACCGACCUGAGAGGGUUAUCGGCCACACUGUGACUGAGACACGGCCCAGACUCCUACGGGAGGCAGCAGUAGGGAAGCUUCGGCAAUGGACGAAAGUCUGACCGAGCAAGGCCGCGUGAGUGAAGAAGGUUUUCGGAUCGUAAAACUCUGUUGUUAGAGAAGCGGUAUCUAACCAGAAAGCCCCGGCUAACUACGUGCCAGCCGCCGCGGUAAUUC
rnacentral:rRNA from 1 species